rnacentral:pre_miRNA from 11 species
CUCAUUGUUCCUUUUUCCUAUGCAUAUACUUCUUUGAGAAUCUGAUCUAAAGAGGCAUACGGCAUGGGAAAAUGGGGCAAUUGAGGU